rnacentral:rRNA from 1 species
UACGGGGGGAGCGAGCGUUGUUCGGAAUCACUGGGCGUAAAGGGCGCGUAGGCGGUUGGGUAAGUCAGGGGUGAAAUCCCAGGGCUCAACCUUGGAAUUGACUUUGAUACUGCCUGACUAGAGGACGGAAGAGGAUAGUGGAAUUCCUGGUGUAGCGGUGAAAUGCGUAGAUAUCAGGAAGAACACCGGUGGCGAAGGCGGCUAUCUGGUCCGUUUCUGACGCUGAGGCGCGAAAGCCAGGGGAGCAAACGGG